GACGAACGCUGGCGGCGUGCUUAACACAUGCAAGUCGAACGGUAAGGCCCUUCGGGGUACACGAGUGGCGAACGGGUGAGUAACACGUGGGUGAUCUGCCCUGCACUUUGGGAUAAGCCUGGGAAACUGGGUCUAAUACCGGAUAGGACCACGGCCUGCAUGGGUUGUGGUGGAAAGCUUUUGCGGUGUGGGAUGGGCCCGCGGCCUAUCAGCUUGGUGGUGGGGUGAUGGCCUACCAAGGCGACGACGGGUAGCCGGCCUGAGAGGGUGUCCGGCCACACUGGGACUGGGAUACGGCCCAGACUCCUACGGGAGGCAGCAGUGGGGAAUAUUGCACAAUGGGCGCAAGCCUGAUGCAGCGACGCCGCGUGGGGGAUGACGGCCUUCGGGUUGUAAACCUCUUUCACCAGGGACGAAGCGCAAGUGACGGUACCUGGAGAAGAAGCACCGGCCAACUACGUGCCAGCCGCCGCAGUAAAAC
rnacentral:rRNA from 1 species